GRGAGUGGCASASGGGWGAGUARCGCGUGRGAAUCUASCGUACCCUACGGAAUARCGCRUGGAAACGUGUGCUAAUACCGUAUACGCCCUACGGGGGAAAGAUUUAUCGGGGUAUGAUGAGCCCGCGUUGGAUUAGCUAUUUGGUGGGGUAAAGGCCUACCAAGGCGACGAUCCAUAUCUGGUCUGAGAGGAUGAUCAGCCACAUUGAGACUGACACACGGCCCACACUCCUACGGGAGGCAGCAGUGGGGAAUAUUGGACUAUGCGCGCAAGCCUGAUCCAGCCAUGCCGCGUGAGUGAUGAAGGUCUUAAGAUUGUAGAGCUCUUUCACCGGAAAAGAUAAUGACGGUCUCCAGAGAAGAAGCCCCGGCUAACUUCGUG
rnacentral:rRNA from 1 species